rnacentral:rRNA from 1 species
UGGCUCAGAACGAACGCUGGUGGCGUGUCUAUACAUGCAAGUCGAGCGAGGCAGCAAUGCCUAGCGGCGAACGGGUGAGUAACGCGUAAGCAAUCUGCCCCAUAUCAGGAAAUACCCGUGCCAACGCGCGGUUAAUGUCCAGGAGCGUGGCCUUCCGCAUGGGAGGUUGACAAGAGAUUUAUCGGUAUGGGAUGAGCUUGCGUCCGAUUAGCUAGUUGGCGGGGCAACGGCCCACCAAGGCGACGAUCGGUAGCCGGCCUGAGAGGGUGAUCGGCCACAUUGGGACUGAGAUACGGCCCAGACUCCUACGGGAGGCAGCAGUAGGGAAUAUUGCACAAUGGGGGAAACCCUGAUGCAGCAACGCCAACCGUGUGGGAAGAAGCAUUUCGGUGUGUAAACCACUGUCGUGAGGGAAUAAGGCGUCUUCUCGGAGACGUUGAAUGUACCUCGAAAGGAAGCACCGGCAAACUUCGUGCCAGCCGCGGC